UUGCUCUUCAACGAGGAAUUCCUAGUAAGCGUGAGUCAUCAGCUCGCGUUGAUUACGUCCCUGCCCUUUGUACACACCGCCCGUCGCUACUACCGAUUGAAUGGCUUAGUGAGACCUCCGGAUUGGCUUCGGGGAGCCGGCAACGGCACCCUGUCGCUGAGAAGCUGGUCAAACUUGGUCAUUUAGAGGAAGUAAAAGUCGUAACAAGGUUUCCGUAGGUGAACCUGCGGAAGGAUCAUUAGCGAAGUUCGGAAUGCAUGUUCGACGUUGAUGCUGCCCAGCAAUGGGAUGUGCUCGCUCGGAUGUGUGUCCCUUCUCUAUCCACCCCAUUGUGAACCAAGUGUGUGAGCCGAAGAGAAAUCGGACGCUCGCAUGCAAACCUUUAACAUACCCCAAUGAAGUAUCAGAAUGUACCUUGCGUUAACUCGCACAAAUAUAACUUUCAACAACGGAUCUCUUGGCUCUCGCAUCGAUGAAGAACGCAGCGAAAUGCGAUAAGUAAUGUGAAUUGCAGAAUUCAGUGAAUCAUCGAAUCUUUGAACGCACAUUGCGCCCGCCAGUAUUCUGGCGGGCAUGCCUGUUCGAGCGUCAUUUCAACCCUCAAGCUCAGCUUGGUGUUGGGACUCGCGGUAACCCGCGUUCCCCAAAUCGAUUGGCGGUCACGUCGAGCUUCCAUAGCGUAGUAAUCAUACACCUCGUUACUGGUAAUCGUCGCGGCCACGCCGUAAAACCCCAACUUCUGAAUGUUGACCUCGGAUCAGGUAGGAAUACCCGCUGAACUUAAGCAUAUCAAUAAGCGGAGGA
rnacentral:rRNA from 1 species